UCACAAACAAUCAUCGGGGACAUGGGUAUCAAUGGUGAAGAACAUGGUAUAUGUUUUGGGUUCAAAAUGAAGCUAAGGGAGUAAGUGCACAGUAGAGGUUUUGCCAAAUGAGUUAUCGGGUACAAAGCAUCGUCUGCAAGCCUCUCCGAACCACCGUCCGCAGUCGUUGCUUAUCUCUUCCGCCCCGCUUCAGUCCCAGGGUUUUUUUUCCUUGUGGUAGUUAUAGGAAUCGAAUUGGAAUGGACGGAAAUGGUGUUUCCGUGGCAUCUGAGGUGCUAGUCGGUGACCGUGAGCUGCUGGACAAGAAAAUCGCAGCAAUACGAAGUGGGGGUCCUAAAAAAAUGCAGGUGAUUGUAGAUUUUGAUCGCACAUUAACCAGGUAUUCGAUCAAUGGCCAACCUGGGCAAAGCAGUCAUGGCCUCUUGCAACAGGGGAAUCCAGAAUAUGAUGCCAAGAGGCAGCAAUUAUAUGAAUAUUAUCAUCCAUUAGAGUUCUCCCCAAAAAUUCCAAUUGAAGAGAAAACAAAGCUCAUGGAGGAGUGGUGGGGAAAAACUCAUGCUCUUCUCAUUGAGGGAGGCCUUACAUAUGAUGCGAUAAAGCAAUCUGUUGCUAAUGCCACGAUUGCUUUUAGGGAGGGUGUUGCUGAACUGUUUGAGUAUUUGGAGGAAAGAGACAUUCCCGUUCUUAUAUUUUCUGCAGGGCUUGCAGAUAUCAUAGAGGAGGUCCUGAGGCAGAAACUUCACAGAUCUUUUAAAAAUGUUAAGAUUGUCUCAAACCGAAUGGUAUUUGACAGUGAUGGUUGCCUUGUCUCUUUUAAAGGAAAGACAAUUCAUAGCCUUAAUAAAAACGAGCAUGCUCUUGAUAUGGCUGCUCCUUUACAUGAGCAAUUGGGUGAUGCUGAUGGGCCAAAUAACAACAAUGCCUCGGUGAAGAAGAGGACCAACGUGCUGCUUCUUGGUGAUCACAUAGGAGACUUGGGGAUGUCUGAUGGUUUAAACUAUGAGACACGAAUAUCUGUGGGUUUUCUGAAUGACAAUGUUGAGAACUCUCUUGAUAGCUACAGGAAGUCCUUUGAUAUCGUUUACCUGAAUGACACGCCCAUGUGGGGAGUAGUCGAGCUUGUUUCUCAGCUAUGUUAGACUCGAGGUGAUUGACUGCCAGCUAACCUAUCAGCUUUGUUUAUUUGGAGUGUACAACCUCUACACCCAAAGAUAUUGCAUUUCUAUGGUCCUCGUUUCGGGCUCUGGUGGCUACCUCCGCAGUGAUUUCAUGGUUUCAAGCUAGAAAAUAUUUGCAUGGCUGCUGUUUAUCUAGGAAGCUCCAUGCCCAUUUUUUAGUGUGGAGGAUGCUAUUAAGAUGGGUAGUUUUAUGAGGUGGGCAGGAAUUACGGUGACUAUUAG